GCCUUUUGAGAGCCAUUACCCCACAGACGCUGAUGUGGCAAAAAGUGUGGGUGCACUCACCUGCCACGUGAAUUUUUCUGUCUAUGUGGCAUUUUUUUGAAAAAUAACUUUUUUUUUAAAAAAGAAUAUUACUUUUUAGAUAAUUUUUUCCGAAUACAAUUUAUAAUAAAACUUGGAUAGAACUACAUUAUNUAGGCUNNNNNNNNNNNNNNUAUAGCUCUAAAUUACGGUACUCUAAUUUUUUUUUAUAGAUUUUACCUAAAAAGUAAAAAUACAUAGUUGAAAUAAAUAGUCAUUGCAUCAAUAGAAGAAAUAAAAAAAAGUGUACAAUUGCAAGAAAUUACAAGUGCAAUUGUAUACUCUUUUUAUUCUUCUUUUGAUGCAAUGACAAUUUAUUUUAACUAUAUAUUUUUUAUAACUUUUUAGAUGUCUUGACUAUUUAUUUCAAUUGUAUAAACCUUUAUUUUCAGGUCAAAUUCAAAAAAAAAGAAAAAGAUUAACAAAAACUUUAUUAGUUUUGGCCAAAUAAAAAUAUUUAACCUAAAUAAUGUAGUU
rnacentral:lncRNA from 1 species